CCUACGGGAGGCAGCAGUGAGGAAUAUUGGUCAAUGGACGAGAGCCUGAACCAGCCAAGUAGCGUGAAGGAUGAAUGCUCUAUGGGUUGUAAACUUCUUUUAUAAAGGAAUAAAAUGAGGCACGUGUGCCUUUUUGUAUGUACUUUAUGAAUAAGGAUCGGCUAACUCCGUGCCAGCAGCCGCGGUAAUACGGAGGAUCCGAGCGUUAUCCGGAUUUAUUGGGUUUAAAGGGAGCGUAGAUGGGUUUUUAAGUCAGUUGUGAAAGUUUGUGGCUCAACCAUAAAAUUGCCAUUGAUACUGGCGGUCUUGAGUACAUUUGAGGUAGGCGGAAUGCGUGGUGUAGCGGUGAAAUGCUUAGAUAUCACGAAGAACCCCGAUUGCGAAGGCAGCUUACUAAACUAUGACUGACAUUGAUGCUCGAAAGUGUGGGUAUCAAACAGGAUUAGAUACCCCUGUAGUC
rnacentral:rRNA from 1 species